rnacentral:rRNA from 1 species
GACGAACGCUGGCGGCGUGCUUAACACAUGCAAGUCGAGCGAGACCCCGCUUUCGGGUGGGUGUUCUAGCGGCGAACGGGUGAGUAACACGUGGGCAACCUGCCCUCAGCUCUGGGAUAACUCCAAGAAAUUGGGGCUAAUACCGGAUAUGACCGCUGACCGCAUGGUCUGGUGGUGGAAAGAUUUAUCGGCUGGGGAUGGGCCCGCGGCCUAUCAGCUUGUUGGUGGGGUAGUGGCCUACCAAGGCGACGACGGGUAGCCGGCCUGAGAGGGUGGCCGGCCACACUGGGACUGAGACACGGCCCAGACUCCUACGGGAGGCAGCAGUGGGGAAUAUUGCGCAAGGGGCGAAAGCCUGACGCAGCGACGCCGCGUGGGGGAUGACGGCCUUCGGGUUGUAAACCUCUUUCAGCAGGGACGAAGCGAAAGUGACGGUACCUGCAGAAGAAGCACCGGCCAACUACGUGCCAGCCGCCGCCGUAA